rnacentral:misc_RNA from 1 species
CUAACUUCAAAUCUGCUGCGGUAGGUUUGCCCAUUGUUGACAAAGACGACACGAAAUCCAAAAGAUCGUCGACUAAUUGAAAUGCUAAACCGAUGUUCCUACCGUAUUGGAAGGCUAAUUCGACCAACUGUUCAUCACCACCAGCUAGCAUAGUCACCUGUUCAAAAUACAUAAUUCUUCGUAUUAAAAACUUCGACCUGUGCGAAAGGAUUAAAUAUCAAGAUCAACAUGACAGUACAUACCGCCUUCAAGGAAUUAGCAACUAAGCUGGCUGUCUUGCGAUACGUUUUCGUGAGGUAAUGCGCGAAUCUCUCGUUUUCCGUCUCCUUAGAGCCAAGCUGCAUAAAUUCACCCUGCACCAGGUCCGUCACGACCUGGAAAGCACCUGGACUUGUCAAUACUUAUCAUCAGGGUUAUAUCAGGAUCCUAGAGCAUAUAUGGUUUGUGAACUUUACCUGACUGAGCGUGAGGGUGACAUCGUCAUUUUGCAGUUGAGCUAUCAUAAUUGACGCGACUGCCAGAACAUAAUCUCCUGUCAUGGUCACCUGAAAAUCGAGCAACAAAUAAUGGAAACAUACAUUAAGAUAUUUUUUCAGAGGAUAAGUUUGUUUAAGAUUAAGUAAAAUGAAAUGAUCCGAUCUUUCUCGUGGAAAGUAAUCCUGGCAUUUUAAUUGCUAAAAUGCGUAGUCGCUCAAUAAAGACAAUUAACGAAGAUAAUAUACUAUGACUUGAAAACAAGAUCUUCCCAAAUAAUAUACUUUGAUGUAUAUAUAUAUAUUUAUCUAUUUAUAAAUAUCUAAUUAUACAUUUAUAAAUAUACAAAUAAAUAUAU